rnacentral:snoRNA from 1 species
AAACCAUGAUGAGGACACUCUAAGAGAAGAUCCUUAAAACGUUCCAUACACCUAGAAAUGAUUCGUUGGGUUUUUUAUGAAACUGGAGAAUGUCGUUCCUAAGUUU